CCACCCGGCACCUUCCCCUAUGGGUGCCUCCUCCCAGAAGCCUUCAGGGUUAUUCCAGGUCUUCCCAUUGCCUGUGCUGUUCCCAGAGCUGCUGGCCGUGGUCCCAGAACAGGCCCAGCCUGCUUGCCCAGCCUGUCACCAUGCCUGGCAGGGAUGGCAUCACCCAGCCGGCUGUGUGCAACUGCUGAAACCCCGUGGGCCCUGCUUCCAGUGCCGCACCCUCCUCGCCCAGGAUGGCUGCAGGAUUUACCAGGUCCUCCGCACAGUGAAAAUGUGAGCUCCUUGCCCCAAGAUGAUGAAGAAUUUCAAGACGGCAAUGGUAGAUUGGUAUGCUUGUGAUGGCUGGAGCAUCAGCAGCUGUUUUGGGCCAUGAGGUGACACUGAGGCUGGAAGCCAGCACUAGGAGAGUGAUACAGUAAGCAGAGAAGCCAGGGCUGUCACGUCGCAGAGGAGACUGGAGAGCUGCGGCGGGGAGGGGUCAGCUGCGGCCACGUGAGGGCCAGGCCCCUCUCUGACUGCCCAGGCUGCAUCCACACAGAAGAUUCCAUGGCUUUCCAUAAAAGAGAGUGGGAGAAUGUCCUCUCUAAAGGCCUGGGGAGUGCCUGGGGAGAGGAGACAGCCUCAGCUGGGGCUCACCAGCCAGCAGCUGCCAGCCAGGCCAGCAAUGCCAAGGCACCCGGCGUUCCUGGAAGCCAAGCCCUGUUUGAUCUAAUGGGGCAGCUGUGGGUGCAGACCCAGAUAAAGAGAUAAACCCAGACCCAGAAACCUGGGGGAGGAGGUGGGAGCAACAACCUCUCUUCCGCCUCCUUCACCGUGAGAGGAAAGGAAGCGGGAUGACAUAGUUGUGGCUGGGACUGCUGGACCCCGCAUGCCAGCCCUGGGAGGUAUGUGGGUCAUGAAAUCCACCCACUGGUGACCUCCCCCAUGGUGAGGGAGGGAGAGAGCUUCUCCCCUCCUUGGCUAAGAGGACAGAGGGAGGAUCCUACAAAUUCUGUCAGGAAGCAGAAAUUUGGUCUGAGAGCAGUGAAGGUGGGAGCAGACACCCCCCAAAUCACCUGCAGGAUGAGCAUUUCUCAGGCUCUAGAGAGCAUGUGUGGGACACAGCCGCCAGCCCACCUGGUGCGGGGGUCCAGCAGCCACAGCCAUGGGAACUCCUGGGCCUGUUGUUCGUGUGCGGAUCCUGGUCCGGGAGCCUGGAUGCGGCUCUGCCUUGCCGACAAGCUCCUGGGCCAGGCCUGGUCCACCAGACCUCCCUAUGCUUGGAGUGCCUGCUUGUUGUGCCUGGAGCUGUGCUGGGCCCUUCCUCAUUGCAGGGCUGGGGGAGUCACUUAACCUGUCUGGGGCUCAGUCUUCUCAUCUGUAAAGUGGGAAUGAUGGCACCUGGUACCCACUUGAUUGGCUGUUGCAAACAUGAAACCAGAUGGGCCUGUAAAUCACAGGGCACUCGGCCGCCAUCACCAUCAUCAUCAUCAACAUCAUCAUCCUCAUCAUCAUGGCCCCAGCUCAUCCAUCUUUGUUGCCUUCUCCACCCCCAUCUUCCAUCCUUGGAGAACUGUGCCUCUUGAAUUGGCCUCGUGACCUAGUAAAGAUCAUAACAAAGACGCCUAAGUUGGUCUCAAGGCACCCUCCUUACUACCCACCAACUGAGGGAGGAUUCUCGCCUAGUCCCAGCAACUGGCCCCGGGGAGGAAGUACCCUUCCCAGUCCUGGCACGUCUCCAGCAGUGCUGGCUGACGGCAGACUACCCUUGAAGCUCAGUUACUGCAUUUGUGGAGAGGGGUGAAACCCCUGCUCCAGCCCAGGGGCCAUCUGAGAUCACACCCCCAACCCCAAGGCCAGGGUGGAUCUCCCUGCUUGGCCCUGGGGUGGUCCCUGGGCAGAUGAGAGGGUCCUUCUGCCUGAGCCUCUGAGGCUGCCCUCACUGCAGAGCUCGUGGUCAAGGGGUGGGUGGGCAGGUUGGAUCCCCUCAAGGGCACAGGGGUUAGAGUCUUAGAGACUUAGGGUGAGGGACAUGGAGAGUGAUGGGUUUCUGGGACCCUGAGCUGGCCCUGGCAAGGCCCACAGGGAAAGCUGUGGAGCGCAGUCAUCUCCGUGGCAACUGGCCUCAUCGUCCUUGUCCUGGCUUGGGGGCCGCACGCCUUCCCUUCCCUUUCACCGGCUGGAGUCGCUUUCUUCAGAGGUAACCAUGGCAA
rnacentral:lncRNA from 10 species